CAGCCGCCGCGGGAAUACGGAGGGUGCAAGCGUUAAUCGGAAUUACUGGGCGUAAAGCGUACGUAGGCGGUGUGUUAAGUCAGCUGUGAAAUCCCCGGGCUCAACCUGGGAAUGGCAGUGGAUACUGUCUCGCUAGAGUGUGUCAGAGGAGGGUGGAAUUCCAGGUGUAGCGGUGAAAUGCGUAGAGAUCGGGAGGAACACCAGUGGCGAAGGCGGCCAUCUGGACCAACACUGACGCUGAGGCACGAAAGCGUGGGGAGCAAACAGGAUUAGAUACCCCCGUAGUCCCUGUCUCUUAUAA
rnacentral:rRNA from 1 species